rnacentral:lncRNA from 1 species
AUUACUUAAAGUGUCUUCUUCCCUUUGUCGCACAACAGUUUAAAGCUUCAAAAACCUAAGCAAACACUUUCCAUAGGAUUAGACAAGCAGACAUGUUGCUUGAUUAUGAAAUGCUUUUGUGGGCUGAGCUAAGUGUUUUCUGUAUUAGAGCAAUUCACUUGUAUGCCACAGAAACUACUACAAGAGUGAAACCAAAGUAGAAGUGGUGCCAUUUUAGUAGUCUGUGCAAGAAUUCCACUCUACUUUCUGCAAGAUUCAUAUCUUGAAGACACGUUCUCCCAGUUGAUCACAUUCCAGAUAGCUUUCAAAUAAUCAGGUCGAACAUUUUUAUACUGAAGAUAAUAGGCAUGUUCCCAUACAUCGAUUCCCAGCAAUGGAAUGAGACCUGUUGUUCCUUGCAAAGGAUCUUGAUUUGCACAGGCUGCUAUUUGUAGACGUCCCUGCUCCUUAUUAUACCCAAGCCACCCCCAGCCUGAUCCUUGAACACCAACUGAUACAGCUGUUAGUUUCUCCUUGAAGUUUGCGAAGGAACCAAAGUCACGUUUGAUGGCUUCCAUCAAUUCUCCUUUAGGCUCCCCUCCUCCAUUGGGAGAAAGAUUUGUCCAGAAGAUGGUAUGAUUGAUAUGACCCCCACCAUUGAAUUUCAGUGCAGGCUGAAGCGACACCUGAGCUGUAACAUCACCUUUUGCCAGCGCCUCUUUGUAUUUCUCCUCUGUAACGUUCAGGUUGUUCACGUAGGUGGCGUGGUGUUUGCUGUGGUGCAGCUGCAUGAUCUCUGCACUGAUGUGGGGCUCCAGCGCGCCAUAGUCGUAGGGCAGGUCAGGAAGAGUGUGCUUCUGCCUUGCGACCAAGCACCCCAACGGUGCUACCAGCGCAGCCCUGCUUCUGCCCGCCGACGCCAGGCGGCACAACAUGGCGGCCAGCUCGCUGCGGCCACUGCACCGACGGCGCACCGCGCCUGCGCCCGCACUGCUGGGGC